UUUAAACAUCCUGUUUAUGUGAAAGCGUUUCUAUAAGUAGGCAAUAUUGAGUAGUUUAUUUAAACACAGCGAUUAGAAACAUUUUAAUUUACACGGAAUUUACUAAAAGGAAGCACCAUGAGGGGAUUUAUUUUACUUGCUGUUUUUGUAGCAUUGGCAAGUUUGAUUACAGUGGAUUCAGCUAAAUGUGGUUCGAAAGAGUACAACCUAAGAUUGUACACCUGUUGUAGAGGCAAACUAUUUUUCGGAAGGGGACAGUCCUGUUGUGGAACGAGAGCUUACAAUAACAAACUCUACACAUGUUGUGCGGACAAACUCACUUUUGGAAGCGGACAGUCAUGUUGUGGAAAAAAGGCUUAUAAUAACAAACUCUAUACAUGCUGUGUGGAUAAACUAACUUUUGGAAGCGGACAGUCAUGUUGCGGAACCAAAGCUUACAACCCCAGAAUCUAUUCUUGUUGUCGUGGAGUCGUUCGUUUUGGAAAAUGCUAAAUGACCUGUGUUUUGGAAGAUAAUUUUACAAAAUCAAUAUUUUGCAUUAAUUCACCAUUUUACGUUCGGUCAAAGCUGCUAUAAGCUUAUACUAUGCAUUCAACUAUAAAACGAAUAACCUCAUUCGAUUCUACAUAUUUUUCAUGAAUGUGAACCUUUCAUAUAUAUUCCAUGAUUUUUCAUUGACAUAAUCAGGUUUAAAAACAAUUAAAAUGGUUUAUUUCUGUGUAUUACGUUUAGGUAGAUUAGAUAUUUUCUACAGUGAAUGGAAUUCCUGAUUAAAAAUUGAUAUAUUAAACUCUUUUAGUAUAAACUCGACCUUAUUCGACUAAUAAAAAAAGAGGUUGAUAUGUUUGAUGUUUUCUGGGCUGACUUUGAAAAGCAAGAAUGUUGCAUUAUAAAAAAUAAUAAUUUUAAUAACGUUUCCGUGCACAGACAAAGAUCUACAGGUCAGAUUUUUAACAGUUAUAGUCGUGCUUUUUUCUAUCAUGCUGUCAAAAAAAUUUUCUGUGUAUGUGUAUAUAAAGAGAAUCUCAUACUUUUACAGCUUAUUUAUGACAUGUUUUGGAAUUAUUUCACCUGCAGUGGCAUAGCUUUUAUAAGGUACUGCAGGCCUGGGCCUGCAGAUUAUCCGAAAAAAAUGCAAAAAUAAAAAUGCCAAAUAUGCAAUAAAAAUCAAAGGGUAAGGGGUGUUUGGCUGUAGGAGCUAAUGAAUCAGUCAACAACGGGCGCGUACCUGGAUGGUUUUGAACUGUACCUUAGUUACGGACGAAGCAGCGAUGCUGCGAGUAUGGUGUAGGUGAGGGAGGGGGUCUCCAUCUCCCAGAAAAUUGAGAUUAAGUGAAUAUUUUAGGCAAGAGAUGCGUUCUCUUGCUAUAUUCCAGCGUUAAUCUAUUUUGUUUGUCACAUUUGUACUACAUAUUUCAGAGGUAAUCAUUUAAAAUCAAAGUUUAGCACACCGCUCAUGCUUAAUGGCAGGGAUCGUGACAUUUUCUAAAAGCAAAAACUGCUACUCGAGUAGCCCACUAUAUUUUGAGGAAUACAAUCAUUUUUCGUAUCCUUUAUUUACAAUUAAGAGUCCGAAUUGUAUUGACCAUGAAAUUCUGUAAGCUCUAGCACAGCUUGUACGUUGAAGAAUCAGAGUUCUGUAAUUGCCCUACACAAUAUACUCCCUGACAUCAAUAGUAACAGUAGAUAUAUGGUUAUGUUUCAAAAUAUUUGUGUCACUGAAACAUUGUGUCAUUCUAUGAUCUAUUUUUUGUACAACUGCCAAGACCCGCUCACGCCAAAGGAGCCUAAUAUUAUGGCAGUUUGGGUAACUGCAUCUAACUGUUACACACGUGAAAAAAUCUCAUAUUCGAACCGUGUGCAAAGCUGUCACUAUGAUUAUUUAUUUAUUUAUUUAUUUAUUAUUCAUUUAAUAUCCUCCACAACGUCAAUAUUACAUAGGCAAUGAAUGGAACGUUACCUACUAGCACAUUAAAGGCAUACUAGGUUUUUUUUUGUUGUUAUCGUAUUUGAAAUCUUCGUCAAUGCAUUAGUUUAUUGCAUUGCGUCUGCAUCAGCAUUUUGGUAAGUUUUUGAUACCUCGCAUUUUAAAGGUAUACUAGGUUUUUUUAUAUUUAUUGUAAUCGUAUUUGAAAUAUUCGUCAGUGUUUAAUUUUAUGCAUUGCGUCUGUAUCAAUUAACAUUUUGGCAAGUUUUUUUAUUAAUGUAUCUAUGCACACAUUGCAAACGUUUCAAGUUUUCUCGUGGGAAACUUAACAUUUUUUAGUCAGAUUAAACAUUUAAUUUUGGCAAAUGCAAAUUUAAACUGCGUGAAUUGCGUGAUCUGAAUAUAGAUUGAUAGAUGUUAUUGCAACCAUUAAUCAAGUCUUCGUUAUCACGUAAGCAGUCACGUUUUUCUUACUUGAGAUAACGGAUUACUAUUUUUUUUUAUUCUCCCACUGCUUUGUUUUAUUGCAUCUUAUUGAUACUUGAAUAGCAGUCAGGCGGGUGAUCCUUUGUGCACACAGAUUCCGACAUGCCCAAAUUGAGUAUACCGAGGUUCAAUGGGCAAAGUGCUAUGUAGGUGUGUUUGUAUAAAACGAGCGUUCGGUAGUUGCCGUAGAAACUUGCAUGCACAACAUAAUCUCGCUUUUGACUGAGUAUCGCACCUAGGGGUUUGUGGCAAAAUGUUUCGCCUGAAGUGCUGGUCUAAAUCUUAAAUAUCCAAACAUCCAGUUCAUAUACAUGUACCGGUAUGCUGCGAUUUAAUGUCAAUUAAAUAUAAAUCAUUGGCUAAUCUUUUUGUAAUAGCAGCAAAUAUUUAUACAGUGUUAGCUAUGCAUGCAUUACGUUUUAUUUUAAACCUAUAAUAAUAAAAAAAAAUAGUACUGUUAAUACAGAUAAACCUGUUACUUUAUGUUUACCUAAACUAUAUGUAGUAACUGUUCAUAUUUUCAAAUAUGAAACUCAGAUCAAGUAUACCUCUGAGACAUAGUCUUUAGCUUGUAUCCGCUUGUAUCAUUGUAUGUUCGUAACCUCAAAAGAGGUGUCUAUUUUUUUCAUUUUUCAUUGUGAGGAAACCAUCAGGUUGGUUUUGUGAACAUUUUAUGGCUUUAUCCAGGUAUCAGUUCAUACAUCAGGUUGGCUUUCUGAACAAUUUAUGGCUUUAUCCAGGUAUCAGUCCAUGCCUAAAGUUAUGUCCGAAAGAGACAUCCGGGAUCUUCCUGCCACAUUAAACACUGUUAAAAGUUGGACAGUUCUUUUGAGACAUAAGCACGUACUUGUAAAUAUUACAAUUGAUGAUUUUGUACUAAACCUCUGAAACUGUCUAGGGUUUACCUACAUAAUUGUUUUACUUUUAUUUUUCGCUUGUUUCUACUUAAGUUUAUCACUAAGGCAGACAUAAUUUUUGGUUAAUUGUAAGACAUAUCUAUGCAAAAUGUCUUCUACAUGACAUUGUAUAGAAAACUUCAACUAAACGGAUGCACAAUAUACACACAUGUAAUGACGAUCAUAUGACAUUACGAAUUCAUUUAAAAUAUACGAAACUUAAAAUGAUCCACAAUAUAUGUUCGACAUCAACUGAUAUGUCUGUACUCCCUAUAUGAGGUUUGUUCACUUUUACGCUAUAGAUUACAGUACUCCAGAUGCCACUGAUCAUGUGAACUGCAAACUGCAAAGAAUAUAAAUAUGAUAUACAUAAAUAAAGCACUAUUAGUAUGCCAAGCUUUGUAAGCAAAGUGUAAUUUAGAAAGAAGAACAAUACACAUAGAUGUAUCGUUCGAAUGUGUUGCCACCGGUCGUUCCUGUGCGGUUCCCGCUGUGUUUCUUUAGAUGUUUGUUUUGUCCUCGCUGACAGUUUGUGUCGAAUUUGAAUUGUACGCACAGGCGUAUAGACGUAUGCCCAGAUACGCACCUGACUAAUAUUGAGCAUGUAAUUAGAGCGUAUUUAUUAGAUAUUUCCAUGAUUAAAAAAAUAAAACAGAUACCAGUA